GACGAACGCUGGCGGCGUGCUUAACACAUGCAAGUCGAACGGAAAGGCCCUGCUUUUGUGGGGUGCUCGAGUGGCGAACGGGUGAGUAACACGUGAGUAACCUGCCCUUGACUUUGGGAUAACUUCAGGAAACUGGGGCUAAUACCGGAUAGGAGCUCCUGCUGCAUGGUGGGGGUUGGAAAGUUUCGGCGGUUGGGGAUGGACUCGCGGCUUAUCAGCUUGUUGGUGGGGUAGUGGCUUACCAAGGCUUUGAUGGGUAGCCGGCCUGAGAGGGUGACCGGCCACAUUGGGACUGAGAUACGGCCCAGACUCCUACGGGAGGCAGCAGUGGGGAAUAUUGCACAAUGGGCGGAAGCCUGAUGCAGCAACGUCGCGUGCGGGAUGACGGCCUUCGGGUUGUAAACCGCUUUCGCCUGUGACGAAGCGUGAGUGACGGUAAUGGGUAAAGAAGCACCGGCUAACUACGUG
rnacentral:rRNA from 1 species